rnacentral:rRNA from 1 species
GAUGAACGCUCGCUACAGGCUUAACACAUGCAAGUCGAGGGGAAACGACAUCGAAAGCUUGCUUUUGAUGGGCGUCGACCGGCGCACGGGUGAGUAACGCGUAUCCAACCUGCCCAUCACUUGGGAAUAACCUUGCGAAAGUAAGACUAAUACCCAAUGACAUCCCACGAAGACAUCUGAAUGGGAUUAAAGAUUUAUCGGUGAUGGAGGGGGAUGCGUCUGAUUAGCUUGUUGGCGGGGUAACGGCCCACCAAGGCAACGAUCAGUAGGGGUUCUGAGAGGAAGGUCCCUCAGAUUGGAACUGAGAACAGGUGCAAACUCAUACGGGAGGCAGAAGUGAGGAAUAUUGGUCAAUGGGAGAGAGCAUGAACCAGCCAAGUAGCGUGCAGGAUGACGGCCCUAUGGGUUGUAAACUGCUUUUAUAAGGGAAUAAAGUGGGUCUCGUGAGACUUUUUGCAUGUACCUUAUGAAUAAGGACCGGCUAAUUCCGUG